rnacentral:sRNA from 1 species
AACAAGAUGAAACAAC